CAUAUGAUCCGUAACUAGAUACUGAAUGUCCAUGGUGCUUUUUGCUCACCAGGAACAACUUUGUCCAUAAUGAAUAGGCAGGGCACUAGAGACUAAGCAAUACCAGAAUAAGGGCUUCUACCUGCAAUCAGAACAUAGAAACUGAAGUAGAGACUGGACUGGAGUAACACCUCUUCUGCAAGUUCACCAAAAUACGGACAGUGUAAAUUCCUUACAGGGAGCAUUGCUUAGGCAAUUGUAUUCACAGACGUUGGAGAAUGGAAGAACCAUGGCUAAAUAAACAGACACAAGUCCACUCAAAGAGGAGAAGUACUCAAAACUGAAGGUGUACAAGUGAAUGGAGCCAGACAGGAUAUAGCCAAAAUAGCUUAAAGAGGGUCUGGUAACACCAUAAUUAUUCAACCACUAGCCACUAUCAGGAGUAAUUCAAGAAGACAGCGAAGGAGGAAGUGUAAUCCCUUAUCACAAGUAUAGAAGAGUUGGCAACUUUACUGGGUGAUUACAGUUAAGAUCAAGGUGAAGCAUAGAUGUAGCAUAUCUAGAUGUUAGUAAGGACUUUGACACUGGCCUACAUUUAAGACUGCUGAAUACUUUAGAAUAUUCAAUGGUGGUUUUAUGGAUAAGUCAUUGACUGAAGGAUAGAUAACAGCGAGUUGCGGUAUGUGAAGUGUAUUCAGAGUGGGUAAGUUAAUCCUCUGUGUACCACGGGAUCUGUACUUGUACCAGUGCUCUUCAGUAUAUUUAUUGGUAGCAUUACUAAUGGUAAUGAAGGUUAGCCUGCCUUCUUGUACAUGAAACAGAGGAAUGGGUUUACUAGAAAAGGAAAAGUGGAGCUGUUGCACAUAGCACUCCACCAGAUUCUAGCUAGUACAUUCUAGGAAACAUGGCCUGUAUCUGAGUCGGACUGCCUUCCACAUGAUCAUCAUACUCAUUUGCUAGACAGCAAGGUGGUCCAAUGGUUAGCUUUGCUGGCUCACAUCACUGUGGUCAUGGGUUUGAUUCCAGCCUGAGCCCUAUCUGUGUGGAGUUUGUACGUUAUCCUUGGCUUUCCUUCGGGUGCUCUGGUUUCCUCCAAAAACAUGCUGGUAAGUUCAUUGUUUUCUGAGAAAAAAAUAACUCUGGAAGCUAUUUGUAUACAAAUGGUCGGGAGUAUCGAUUGUAAACUCUACUGGGACAGGGAUUGAUAUUCUCUGUAAAGCGGAGUGUAAAAUGUGUUAAAAAUAUAUACCCUCAGAUAUUCUGUACUGCUGUGAAUAUCCAGAUUAUCUGAUUCGCUACAUUUUACCCUGUCCUACUUUAAAUGUGGAGAUAUCUGGAAGAUCAUGACAUGAAGGACUUAUAAAUAAAUAAAAAACGUUUCUUUGAACAAGUAAAUUCCUACUUAUUGCUACAAAGCCAAUACACACUCUGGAUGAUAUAUGCUUACCAAGAGAGAACAUCUCCCACAGAAGGAUACCAUAGGACCAAACAUCACUCUGCACUGUGUAGAUACAGUCAAAAAUGCUUUCUGGGGCCAUCCACUUAACCGGCAGGCGAGCCUGAAGACAUAAAUUGUUCAUGUAAAAUAAGAUUACCUCUAGAUGCCAUUUUUCUUGUGCUCAUUUCAAUGGUUGUAUAUUCUGCUCAAUAAAAUCAAGUCUAAGUCUAAGUUA